rnacentral:rRNA from 1 species
GAUACUGGUCAUCUUGAGUUGUAUUGAAGUAGGCGGAAUAUGUAGUGUAGCGGUGAAAUGCAUAGAUAUUACAUAGAACACCAAUUGCGAAGGCAGCUUACUAAGUACUAACUGACGCUGAUGGACGAAAGCGUGGGUAGCGAACAGGAUUAGAUACCCUGGUAGUCCACGCCGUAAACGAUGGAUACUAGCUGUUCGGGGCCUUGAGCUCUGAGCGGCUAAGCGAAAGUGAUAAGUAUCCCCCUGGGGAGACGUUCGAAGAAUGAAACUCAAGGAAUUGACGGG